ACGGACGUAGCUCAAAUGGGAGAGCAGCGGUCUCCAAAACCGCCGGUUGUGGGUUCGAGUCCCGCCGUCCGUG
rnacentral:tRNA from 1 species